UCUAAGCAGAGCCCUUGAAUGGUAAAGCCGCGAAUGGCUCAUUACAACAGCCACAGUUUAUUGGGUCUCCAUUUACUUGGAUAACUGAGCUAAUUGUUGAGCUAAUACACGCACCAAAGCUUCGACCUCACGGGAGGAGCGCAUUUAUUAGAACAAAACCAAUCGGACUUCGGUCCGUCCAUUGGUGAAUCUAAAUAACUUAGCCGAUCGCAUGGUCUCGCACCGGCGACUCACCUUUCAAAUGUCUGCCUUAUCACCUUUCGAUGGUAGUUUAUACGCCUACCAUGGGUUUUACGGGUAACGGAGAAUAAGGGUUCGACUCCGGAGAGGGAGCCUGAGAAACGGCUACCACAUCCAAGGAAGGCAGCAGGCACGCAAAUUACCCACUCCCGGCACGGGGAGGUAGUGACGAAAAAUAACGAGGCGGUUCUCUAUGAGGCCCGCCAUCGGAAUGGGUACAAUCUAC
rnacentral:rRNA from 1 species